GUGGACGCCAGUCUGCAUGGAGCCGACCUUGAAAUACCACCCUUUAAUGUUUGAUGUUCUAACGUGGACCCGUUACCCGGGUUGCGGACAGUGUCUGGUGGGUAGUUUGACUGGGGCGGUCUCCUCCUAAAGAGUAACGGAGGAGCACGAAGGUUGGCUAAUCCUGGUCGGACAUCAGGAGGUUAGUGCAAUGGCAUAAGCCAGCUUGACUGCGAGCGUGACGGCGCGAGCAGGUGCGAAAGCAGGUCAUAGUGAUCCGGUGGUUCUGAAUGGAAGGGCCAUCGCUCAACGGAUAAAAGGUACUCCGGGGAUAACAGGCUGAUACCGCCCAAGAGUUCAUAUCGACGGCGGUGUUUGGCACCUCGAUGUCGGCUCAUCACAUCCUGGGGCUGAAGUAGGUCCCAAGGGUAUGGCUGUUCGCCAUUUAAAGUGGUACGCGAGCUGGGUUUAGAACGUCGUGAGACAGUUCGGUCCCUAUCUGCCGUGGGCGCUGGAGAACUGAGGGGGGCUGCUCCUAGUACGAGAGGACCGGAGUGGACGCAUCACUGGUGUUCGGGUUGUCAUGCCAAUGGCACUGCCCGGUAGCUAAAUGCGGAAGAGAUAAGUGCUGAAAGCAUCUAAGCACGAAACUUGCCCCGAGAUGAGUUCUCCCUGAGACUUAGAGUCUCCUGAAGGAACGUUGAAGACGACGACGUUGAUAGGCCGGGUGUGUAAGCGCAGCGAUGCGUUGAGCUA
rnacentral:rRNA from 1 species